rnacentral:rRNA from 1 species
CAGCCGCCACGGGAAUACGAAGGGUGCAAGCGUUAAUCGGAAUUACUGGGCGUAAAGCGUGCGUAGGCGGUGAGUUAAGUCUGCUGUGAAAUCCCCGGGCUCAACCUGGGAAUGGCAGUGGAUACUGGCUCGCUAGAGUGUGUCAGAGGAUGGCGGAAUUCCCGGUGUAGCGGUGAAAUGCGUAGAGAUCGGGAGGAACAUCAGUGGCGAAGGCGGCCAUCUGGGACAACACUGACGCUGAGGCACGAAAGCGUGGGGAGCAAACAGGAUUAGAUACCCCCGUAGUCCCUGUCUCUUAUAC